rnacentral:lncRNA from 1 species
AUCCAUUUAAUUCAUUUAAUAUUUGGAUCGAAUUUGGAUUUUGCAUAUAUGAUCUAUUUAAUCUGUUUAACUCAUUUAAUAUUCAGAUCAGAUUGAGUCAAAUAACUCAUUUAAUUCAUUUAAGAUCUAUUUAAAACCUGCUUAAUCUAUUUCUAACCUAUUUAAUCAACCUGUUUAACCUAUUAAAAAUCACUUGUUUAACCUAUUUAACAUAAUUUAAUUCAUUUAAUAAAUGAAUUAAGUAGAUCGGAUCGAGUUAUUUGUUUAAUAAAUAGAUCGAGUUUAGGUUUGAAUUUUGAUUUAUUUAAUAAAU